UCCGGGCUGGGAAUCUGCAGCCCCCGGGGUGAAAUGCACCGCCUUGUGACCUGGGCCAAGCUUGCUUCCACGUGUGCCUUCGAGCCAGACGUGGCUGUGGCGCGGCCGGACGUUUCUCCUCACCCUCCCCACCAGGUUGCAGGAAACACACACGCAAUCGUUUUACACACAGGACGGACGGUCAAGUGCGUGUGGUCCUCGUCAUCACCCAUAAGACCGUCUGCUGGCAUCAGGCAAGCAGGAUCACAACACCUCACUUUUCCAGUGAAAUAAUCCAUUCAUCAAGGAGAAAUUGAAUCGGAAAGACAUCUUACCAGCUAUGUGGUUUGGAAUAGAUCAAGGGAGACAUGGAAGGGAUCUCCAUUGACAUCAGAAGCUGUGGUAUCAGGACCUCUUGCUCAUCUUCAUGUAAGAGAUCAACGUACAGAUGCUUUACAAGUCUUACUAUUAAAAUUACACCUAGUAUUUCUUUUUUAGGAGUGAUUGUAAAUGGUAUUUAGUUUUUGUUUCCAUAUAUUCUUUGCUAAUAUAGAGAAAUAAGGUUGGUUUUUGGCUGAUGAUCUUGUAGCCUGUAACGUUGCUGAAUUCUCUUAUUAGUUCUAGAAGUUUUCUGUGUUUUUUUUUUUUGUAGACUCCUUGGGGCUUUGUACAUAGACAACAAUGUUAUCUGCCAUUAAGGAUAAUUUAAUUUUUCCUUUCCAAUCUAUAUCCCUUUUAUUUCCUUUUCUGGCCUUAUUGUGUCAGUACUUGCUAAGACAUCCAGUAAUAUGUUGAAUAAGAGUGGUGGGACUGGACAUACAUUCCAUGUUUCUAAUCUUAAAGAAAAAGCAUUCACUCUUUACCACUAAGUAUGAUCUUAGCUCUAGGGUGUUUAUAGAUGUUCUUUUUCAAGUUAAGGAAGUCCCCCUCUCUUCCUAAUUUGCUGAGAGUCUUUUUUUUUUAAUCCUGCUUGGGUGUUGAAUUUUUUCAAAUGCUUUUUCUUUAUCAAUUGAUAUGAUUUUUCUUCUUUAACCUAUUGUUACAGUUUUUAUUUUAAAAUAUUGAACCAGCCUUGUAUUCUUGGAAUAAACCCCACUUGGUCAUUGUAUAUAAUUAUUUUGAUAUAUUACUAAAUAAAUUUUGCUAGUAUUUUUUAGGGUUUUUGCUUUUAUGCUCAUGAGAGAUAUUGGGUUUUAGUUUUCUUUUGUUGUACUGUCUUUAUCUGUUUUUGGAAUAACACAGGUCUCAUAAAAGUAGUUGGGAAUUGUACUCCUAUAUUGUAGAAGAGAUUUGCAGAAUUGGUGUUAAUUCUUCUUUAAAAUUUUGGUAGAAUUCUCUAGUGAAAACCUUCUGGGUCUAGAUGAUUUUUUGAAGCUUUUAAAUUACAGAUUCAAUUUAUCUUACAGAUAUAGGACUCAAUGUUAUCUGUUUCAUAUGGGGUGAGUUAUGGUAAUAUGUGGUUUUUAAAGGAAUUGUUCCAGACUUGUGGUUGCCAAAGGGGAGUGGAGGGGGGAGGGAAGGACUGGGAGUUUGGGAUUAGCAAAUGAGAACUAUAAUAUACAUGAUGGAUAAACAAGGUCCUACUGUAUAGCACAGGGAACCGUAUUUGAUAUCCUGUGACAAACCAUAAGGGGAAAGAAUAUUUAAAAAAAGAAUGUCUAUAUAUAACUGAGUCACUUUGCUGUACAGCAGAGAUUGGCACAACAUUGUAAAUCAACUAUACUUCACUAAAAAAAUAAAUUAAAAAAGGAAUUGUUCUAUUUUAUUUACAUUGUCAAAUUUGUGUUUGUACAACUGUUUAUAAUCAUCCCUAGGUAUCCUUUUAAAGGAUCUAUAAUUAUA